rnacentral:rRNA from 1 species
GGGCUUGACAUCCCACGAACCUGAGAGAUCAGGGGUGCACUUCGGUGCGAAUCGAGACAGGUGGUGCAUGGUUGUCGUCAGCUCGUGUCGUGAGAUGUUGGGUUAAGUCCCGCAACGAGCGCAACCCUUGCCCCGUGUUACUAACAGGUCAAGCUGAGGACUCUCGGGGGACUGCCCGCGUCAAGCUGGAGGAAGGCG